CAGUCGCCGCGGGAAUACGAAGGGUGCAAGCGUUAAUCGGAAUUACUGGGCGUAAAGCGUGCGUAGGCGGUUUGUUAAGUCUGUUGUGAAAUCCCCGGGCUCAACCUGGGAAUGGCAAUGGAUACUGGCAAGCUAGAGUGUGUCAGAGGAUGGUGGAAUUCCCGGUGUAGCGGUGAAAUGCGUAGAGAUCGGGAGGAACAUCAGUGGCGAAGGCGGCCAUCUGGGCCAACACUGACACUGAGACACGAAAGCGUGGGGAGCAAACAGGAUUAGAUACCCCGGUAGUCCCUGUCUCUUAUAC
rnacentral:rRNA from 1 species